rnacentral:rRNA from 1 species
UACGGGGGGGCAAGCGUUGUUCGGAAUUUCUGGGCGUAAAGGGCUCGUAGGCGGCCAACUAAGUCAGACGUGAAAUCCCUCGGCUUAACCGAGGAACUGCGUCUGAUACUGGAUGGCUUGAGAUUGGGAGAGGGAUGCGGAAUUCCAGGUGUAGCGGUGAAAUGCGUAGAUAUCUGGAGGAACACCGGUGGCGAAGGCGGCAUCCUGGACCAACACUGACGCUGAGGAGCGAAAGUGUGGGGAGCGAACAGG